UACAGAGGGGGCAAGCGUUGUUCGGAAUUACUGGGCGUAAAGGGCGCGUAGGCGGCCUGCUAAGUCGAACGUGAAAUCCCUGGGCUCAACCCAGGAACUGCGUCCGAUACUGGUUGGCUUGAAUCCGGGAGAGGGACGUGGAAUUCCAGGUGUAGCGGUGAAAUGCGUAGAUAUCUGGAGGAACACCGGUGGCGAAGGCGACGUCCUGGACCGGCAUUGACGCUGAGACGCGAAAGCGUGGGUAGCAAACAGG
rnacentral:rRNA from 1 species